UGCUUCUGUGACUUUGUUCAAGAUGUUACCUGUGCUGGAAUCUUGUGGAGGAACUAAAGAGAGCCUAUCAACAGUUGUAAAUCAAAGAAAAGACAGAUGUUUGGGCAUUUGUAAGAAACUUGUACUUGAGAAGAUUAGGAAAAUAUUUCGGAUAACCUUGAACUAUUGAUAAGAUUUUAACAGGCAUGUGGGGAGAUUCCUUUGUGAGAAGAGACAACAUUGAAUCUAUCAUAGUGCCUUGCAUAGUAAGGACCUAAUAUGUAUUUGUUGAACAAAUGAAUGAAUACAUGAAGAAUGAAUGGGUCAGUGUCUGCUUGUAUCUAUAUCAGUGUGAUUGAAUUGAUCACAUCUGUUUUCUCUCUCUAUUAGGAGAGAUUUGGAGGAACAUAAGAGAAUAAGGUGCCUGAAGGGAAAAGAAGCCUUGAGGAUAGAGUAGUCUCCAGUGUGAACAUCAACCUGUAACAAGAUAAUCUACAGUAGCAGGCCAGUGGAAGUGUGGACAUCACCCCUUCUACCUCAUUAGGGAACAUUAGCUGUGAGCUAACAUCUGCCGCCAAAGCUCCUCUUUUUGCUGAGGAAGACUGGCCCUGAGCUAACAUCCGUACCCAUCUUCCUCUACUUUAUAUGUGGGACGCCUGCCACAGCAUGGCUUGCCAAGCGGUGCCAUGUCCACACCUGGGAUCUGAACUGGUGAACCCCGGGCUGCUGAAGCGGAACGUGGGAACUUAACCACUGCACCAUGGGGCCAGCCCCAUAAUCUCCCUAUUUUAAGGUAAACUGAUUAGCAACCUUAAUUCCGUAUGCAAGUCUUAAUACCUCUCUUUGUCAUGUAACAUAACAUAUUCACAGGUACCGGAGAUUAUGAUGUGGACAUACUUGAGACGGAGGCAUUGUUCUGCCUACCACGCUUAGUUAACUUCUGCAUUUCAGUUUCUUCAUCUAGAAAAUGAGAACAAAGCUACCUACUUCA
rnacentral:lncRNA from 1 species